CUGUGUCUCUGUCAAAUAAAUAAAAAUAAAAUCUUUAAAAAUAUAUAUAUUGACUUAUUGAAAAAGCUAUCUGACUUGAUAAGUUCUCCAAAAACUUCUCUCUCCAUGUCUCAUCAAACUGUUGUUGAAAUCUCUUUGCUUUUGUUAAGUUUUUCCAGGAAGUCUGAAUAAUGGAGUGUAAUUUCUUGGGUAUUUCUGUGGUUAAAUAAGUAUUUCCUACAACUCUCUCUAUUCUGAAUAUCAGUAAAACAUUACAUGUAUCCUGUAUAUUUGCUGUUAGAAUUGCAGUCAGUUGCUCUAUAACAGAUGUAAAAUC